AUAGCGUAUAUUAAAGUUGUUGUGGUUAAAAAGCUCGUAGUUGAACCUUGGGCCUGGCUGGCCGGUCCGCCUCACCGCGUGUACUGGUCCGGCCGGGCCUUUCCCUCUGUGGAACCCCAUGCCCUUUACUGGGUGCGUUGGGGAACCAGGACUUUUACCUUGAAAAAAUUAGAGUGUUCAAAGCAGGCCUAUGCCUGAAUACAUUAGCAUGGAAUAAUAAAAUAGGACGUGUGGUUCUAUUUUGUUGGUUUCUAGAGCCGCCGUAAUGAUUAAUAGGGACAGUCGGGGGCAUCAGUAUUCAAUUGUCAGAGGUGAAAUUCUUGGAUUUAUUGAAGACUAACUACUG
rnacentral:rRNA from 1 species